GACGGAAGGUGCAAGCGUUGCUCGGAAUCACUGGGCGUAAAGGGUGCGUAGGCGGCCGUGCAAGUCUGGCGUGAAAGCCCCGGGCUCAGCCCGGGAAGUGCGCUCGAAACUGCGCGGCUCGAGUGCCGGAGGGGAGAGUGGAAUUCCUGGUGUAGCGGUGAAAUGCGUAGAUAUCAGGAGGAAUACCGGUGGCGAAAGCGACUCUCUGGACGGCAACUGACGCUGAGUGAGCGAAAGCCAGGGGAGCAAACGGG
rnacentral:rRNA from 1 species